UUUAGCCUAUUCUUUUUUAUAGUCGUUUUAGUUAUUUAAGAAAUUUUGUAAAAUUUAAAGAGAUUUGGAAAAAGUUAACAUGCUAAAAAUUGGGUUCAAAUAGUAUCUUGUACGAUAGACUCUUUUAUUUUAUACGUGUAUGAAAUAGAUGGUUUUAACUAUAUUUUUGGCAUGUUAAGUUUUUUUUUAAAAUUUUUUAAAAUUUUGUAGAAUGCCAUAAAAAGCUAUAACGUAGACGAACAUAAAAAAAAAAUUAAACUAAUUUUUUUUUUCUAAAUGUUGGAAUAGAUAGAUAGGGUACAUCAGUAGACCCUUUUAAGGUGCGUUGUACAAAUUUUUAAAUAUAUAUUGAAAUAGUAAAAGGUAGCACCAUAAGAUUAUAAUUAAGUAUUGGAUCUCACAUAUUUUUAAUUGGUUAAUUAAGAUUAAUUUUACUUAACUUUAAUAUGUACCAAAUUGUGUGAGUCAAAAUUUUUGAGGUUGUUAAAAAAAUUGUUGAAUUAUUGAGAUUAUUAAAUUUAAUAAUUUUCGUUCAAUUUUACUAACGGACACCUGACACGGAUAAAAAUUCUGGAGAUACGAUUUAGUAUAUGGGCAAUCACCAUAUUAAGCAUUUGUUAGUAAACUUGAAUGAAAUUAGGCAAAAGUCUUGAAUCUAAUAAUUUUAAUAAUUUGGUAAGAACUUUUAACGGCCUAAAAAGCUCAAGUUGUACGAUUUGGUAAAGUUAAAGUUCGAAAAAAAAUUAUAAAUAACUUUUUCAAUUUAAUACUUAAAAUUAAAAAAUUGCUAAUUAUUUAUAAAAUAACACCUCCUCAUAGUGUUAGGUAAAAUUGAUGUUUAAUUAGUAUAAUUUAUUAUUUUGAGGCAAUAAGACUUUCAUUAGGGAAGAGGUGGGAGUGUAGUGUGGGACUUAAAUAUAAAUAUAAAUAUUAUUUAUUUUUUUUUAUGUUUUUUCUUUGGAAGAAGUAUUGAUUUAUAUAAUAUACAUGUUAUAGAUUUUGUUUUGGAUCAUACAUAAUUUAUUUAUUUAAAGCUAUGAUUUAAAUAUGUGUUUAAGAUUGCAAUGUAUGAAUAAACAAAUUAUGAUAAUUUAUUAUUAAAAAAAUAUCAUUGAUCCAUAUUUAUUGGUUGAUCUGAUUCCUCAAGGAAUAAGAUCAAUUUCCCAUGAUAUAAUGUGUGUAUAUACACUAGCCAUGUUUGCAGUCUUUAAUUUUAUAAUUAAUGUUUAUUAAUAAAUCCAUUAGUGUUAGUUUGAAUCAAAAAUUGUAAGAAAAAAAUAACAUGAUGGUACAUAUACUUUUAAUAUAUAUUUUGUCUUUUGUAAUUAUGGGAUUAAAAAGUUCAUUUUUUUCAUGAUUAUUUAUCCUAUAAGAUAUUGAAUAUUGAUAUUAUUUACUUAUUAGUGAAAUAGUGAUAUAAUGUGUUUAUGAUAUAUUUAUUGUAAAUGGAAUAAUAUUAUUACAAUAGCCAAGUUCUCCUUGUAUAUAUAUAUAUAUAAAUAUAUUUCUACAAUAU